rnacentral:rRNA from 1 species
GAGUUUGAUCAUGGCUCAGGAUGAACGCUAGCGGCAGSCCUAACACAUGCAAGUCGAACGGUAACAGGGAAAAGCUUGCUUUUCCGCUGACGAGUGGCGCACGGGUGCGUAACGCGUAUACAAUCUACCUCUUACAGGGGGAUAGCCUUUAGAAAUGAAGAUUAAUACCCCAUGGCAUUAUAAACCGGCAUCGGUUUAUAAUUAAAGUUUCGGCGGUAGGAGAUGAGUAUGCGUUCUAUUAGCUAGUAGGUGUGGUAACGGCACACCUAGGCAACGAUAGAUAGGGGCCCUGAGAGGGGGAUCCCCCACACUGGUACUGAGACACGGACCAGACUCCUACGGGAGGCAGCAGUGAGGAAUAUUGGACAAUGGGCGGAAGCCUGAUCCAGCCAUGCCGCGUGCAGGAAGACUGCCCUAUGGGUUGUAAACUGCUUUUGUACAGGAAGAAACCUUUCCACGUGUGGAGAGCUGACGGUACUGUAAGAAUAAGCAUCGGCUAACUCCGUGCCAGCAGCCGCGGUAAUACGGAGGAUGCAAGCGUUAUCCGGAAUCAUUGGGUUUAAAGGGUCCGUAGGUGGAUUGGUCAGUCAGAGGUGAAAUCCUGCAGCUCAACUGUAGAACUGCCUUUGAUACUGCCGGUCUUGAAUUAUUGUGAAGUGGUUAGAAUAUGUAGUGUAGCGGUGAAAUGCAUAGAUAUUACAUAGAAUACCGAUUGCGAAGGCAGAUCACUAACAAUAUAUUGACACUGAUGGACGAAAGCGUGGGGAGCGAACGGGAUUAGAUACCCCGGUAGUCCACGCCGUAAACGAUGGUCACUAGCUGUUCGGACUUCGGUCUGAGUGGCUAAGCGAAAGUGAUAAGUGACCCACUUGGGGAGUACGUU